CCUGGUGCUUACGGCGCGGUGGAACCACUCUGACCCCAUCCCGAACUCAGAGGUGAAACGCUGCAGCGGCCACGAUAGUUGUCGGGUUGCCGACUGCCAAAAUAGCUCAGUGCCAGGG
rnacentral:rRNA from 1 species